ensembl:snRNA U4 U4 spliceosomal RNA
AGCUUUGUGCAGUGGCAGUAUCGUAGCCAAUGAGGUUUAUCUGAGGCGUGAUUAUUGCUAAUUGAAAACUAUAAGGUAAAUAUUUUAUAGAGAAAAAACUGGCUCACCAAAAAGGCAUUUUGUGUGCUGUGUGUAUGCUACAAAGUGCUGAGGGGAGACAG